CAGAAUCUUAACUAAAAUAGUCAGAAUUCACUCCAUGUAAGUAUCUCUCCAGGAUCUCCCUAAGUUCCUGAGACUGACCUCAAACUUGUGAUUCUCCUGUCUCUGCCUCCUGUAUCCCUGGGUUUAUAGAAAUAAUUAAAAAGAAGAAAAGAGGGGAAGCUGAAUCCCACUAAAGAAUUCUAACAGAAGAUGAAUCACAGAAAGGAGAAUUGGUGGAGGCAGCUGGAAAGAGGAAAGGUGGGCAGACCAAAUCUCUAAGACUUAUGGGAAGAAAGGAUUGUAUUGAAGCUGAUGGCCAGAUAAAGAAGAUGAUCCAAGAGCUUAACCAGUGGGAGGUUAUGCUUCUGCCCCGGGAAUGACAUAGUAAAAAUGUUCAUGUGCUUCUUAAACUCAUGACUAAUCUCUGCUUGGUGCCUGAUGCAUGAGAGUGAUUGUAAUUUCUUAUGCUUUUAUUGCAUUAAAAAGACAACAUCUAUAAUGUGAUCAGCAUGAUUCUUGACAGAAUGUUUUUUUUAAUUUUUA